AAUAUUGGGACAUAUAAAAAAAGACAACUCUGUUCCGCAGAGUAGCUGUUGACAUUAUAGUUGCGCAGGCACUUUUUUGACUCUAGAGAACCUAAGGCAAAUCGCACAUCCCCGUGGCGGCGACUUUGCAUGCGGAUGUCAUCCAUAUCAACUUUCAAUGCCAGUUUCUGUGUCUACCAUGGUGACCACGGGUAACGGAGAAUCAGGGUUUCAUUCCAUACAGGGACCCUGAGAAACGACUACCACAUGCAAGGAAGGCAGCAGGCGCGCAAAUGACCCACUCCCGACCCGGGAAGGUAGUGA